CUCCAAGGGGUCUUCCCAACUCAGGGAUUGUACCCGAGUGUCUUAUGUCUCCUCCACUGGCAGACGAGUUCAUUACCACUCAUGCCACCUGGGGGUCAUUAAAUGCUUUAUAGGCUCAAAAGAACUGAUGCAGUUCAAAGGAGAGGCUGAUGGAUCAGUCAGUAAUAUAGAGAAGUUUCUCUGAAAGAGGGGUGAUGGGGAGAGUUUGCAGGCAGGGAGCAGGAAGGAGGGCAUUCCUGUAGAGGAGAGGAUGCGUGAGGCAGAGGAGGAACCGCACCUGGUAAGCACUGUGAGACCAGGGGCGUGUUCACGCCGGUCACCACAGAUCCCCACCACCUGUCACAGUGCCUGCACAUAAAAGGUGCUCUCUUAAUGCUUGCUAAAUAAACAGGUGAUGUUUUGUGGGAUGUCACCAUUCUGGGGCAGCUGGCCUGUAAGGACAUACUUUGGGAAAUGGGGAAUUAAUUUGAGUUUGUAGGGUGGGGUCAUUCCCGAAGGGCAUCGGAAGCCAGGGGGAAGAAAGUCAAAGUAUCGGAGUUACUGUCACACUAAAGUUUCGCCUGUAAAGGGGAGAUAUCGAUGGACGUUUCAGAACCCAGUGCCAGCCCCCUGCCUGAGGAUCGUGACCCACGUGUUGUGGUUUCUGAAAUAUACAGGCUGUCUGUGGCGCUCUGCUUCUUCCCUCUCCUUCCCUGAGCUGGAUGACAAAUGCUGGCAGUUUGAUCAGGAUAGCUGGCCAAACGCUGGCUGUUUUUCUUCUUGGUGAUGCACUGAAGGAAUUAACCAGCUUCCAAAUGGUUCUGAUGAUUUCUUCUGCGUGGAUGACUUCCAAUUCCAUCCUGUCCUCUGAUGUUGCUCCUGAGUCCUCAUCCUGCAGACAGCUCCAUUGGUGUGUGGGUCCCUACCAGCCCCUGAAUCUCCUGCCCACACACCUACCAGGUAAAAUUACUGGCCAUUUUGAGUUAGCUGGGAAAGUGAGGACAACUGAAAGAGCCGCCAAAGAAAACUUCAGGGAGAAAUGAAGGAGGAAAUAUUGAUAGACUGGGGCACGUCAUCAAAAUCACAGACCCUGAAGAUGGGAAAAGACUUUAGAAGCCCAAUGGCCUGUGUCCCGAAAGACUACUGCAACAGUCCCCAUCAGGGUUAGCAGAUCUGUGCACCCGGUCCUCUGCCCUCCUUGGUACUGAAGUGCUUGACACCGUUGACUGCGUUGUCCUCGGAACACAAUCUGACCUAGGGCUCCUUAUCACCAAACUCAGAGAUACUUUUCCAUUUGUUUGUCUCACAGGCUCUUCUUCACAAGUCUGUAAACACUGCAGUUUCCCAGAGCUGAUUCUCUGCUAUCUUCUCUCUUGAACUGAUUUUUACCAGAUCCCAGUGACUCUCUCAGAUACGCUUCCAGCCUAGAAUUUUUCCUUAAGUCUGGCUCAUAUGUUCCUUUUUCUCCUGACAUCUCUUCUUAGGUGUUUGACGGUCAUCUCAAAUUUCAUGUGGCCCCAAACUGAGUGAUUUCCUCCCCGCACCGCCCCAGCCCACAUCCCUUAGGUCUUCGCCAUGGUGGUCCAUAAUCCCAUUGUUUGUUACUGUUUACUGUUAAUUCCCACACUAAGGAUUCAUCUGUCCUUCCCCUCUUUUUCUCGCACUCACAUUAAACCUGUGUCAGCAUCUCCCAUCAAUGCCACCUCUUAAAUAUUAAUGUAUCCUGGGUCACAUCACUUUCCAUCAGCUCCAAGCUCUGGCUCAACCUGCCCGCGGGUCUCAGUCGAUCCUGUCCACCCUGCCCGCCUGCAGUCCGUCCUUUCACGGCAUCGAGUGAUUGUGCGCACGUCAGACCCAGCCAUUUCCUGGUCAGACCCUCCAGUAGCUUCUCCGUUAUUCCAGGAAUAAAACUGAAACUCUUUCACACUGUCCACAGGUCUACAGAGUCCAGUGUGUGGCUCCCUGUCUGGCCUUAUCAUCCUGUUUUCUCUCUCAUUCCUGCCUGUUAGGCGAUUUUGGCCUUUUUCCCUCACCCCUUGAAAAGACAUUAAGCUCAUGCCCAUUUCAAGGCCUGCUAUUUCUUCCUGACUGCUCUUCCCCAGAUCCUCAUACUGCUGCCAACUUCUCAUGGUGCAUUUCACAAAUAAGGCUCCUCUUUAUCAUACUAUCCUAUUUUUCUUCCUCACGUGCUUAUAGGUAUCAUAAAAUAUCUUAUUUGUUUACACGCUUAUAGUCCAUCUCUCCCUUACAAGAAUGGAGGCUCCUGGAUAGCCCCUGUCUGUUUUCUCACUGCUCGGCGAAUAGUAGGUGUUUAAUAAAUACAUAUGCAUUGCCUAGCCAACAUUCUAUAACACAGUGAGAUACAGCCACAUUCUGACUACAGGCCUGGCUGGCUAAAGGGGAGUAGCACAAGGAAUAUUCAGAAAAAGUUUAUUCAUUUGUGGGUGUAGACAGGGAAACAAUUUGUCUGAACCUUAGUUAUCCUUUAAGAAAAUUUGCCUUUGAUGUUUGAGGGCAAGAGUCAGCUCCUAAAUAGGACUGUCACAUUGAACAGAGUCUUGAAGCUUCUGUAUAUUAUGCCCUAAGAGCUGUCUUUUCAUUAUUUCCAAUUGGUAUAGCUAAAAGAGUAAAUUAGUCCUUGCUACUGGUACAGAUGCUAAGUCGUCGCUUCAGUCGUGUCCAACUCUGUGCGACCCCAUAGACAGCAGCCCACCAGGCUCCUCCGUCCCUGGGAUUCUCCAGGCAAGAACACUGGAGUGGGUUGCCAUGUCCUUCUCCAAAGCAUGAAAGUGAAGUCACUCAGUCGUGUCCGACUCUUAGCUACCCCUUGGACUGCAGCCUACCAGGCUCCUCCACCCAUGGGAUUCUCCAGGCAAGGGUACUGGAGUGGGUCGCCAUUGCCU
ensembl:lincRNA